rnacentral:rRNA from 1 species
GACAUAGGUGGCGAACGUUAUCCGGAAUUACUGGGCGUAAAGCGCACGUAGGCGGCUUGGCAAGUCGGAUGUGAAAUCCCUCGGCUCAACCAAGGAAGUGCAUCCGAAACUGCUGAGCUUGAGUACUUAAGAGGAUCGCGGAAUUCCCGGUGUAGAGGUGAAAUUCGUAGAUAUCGGGAGGAACACCAGUGGCGAAGGCGGCGAUCUGGGAAGAUACUGACGCUGAGGCACGAAAGCGUGGGGAGCAAACAGG